rnacentral:rRNA from 1 species
UACAGAGGUCCCAAGCGUUGUUCGGAUUCACUGGGCGUAAAGGGUGCGUAGGUGGUGAGGAAAGUCGGAUGUGAAAUCUCCAGGCUCAACUUGGAGGGGUCAUUCGAUACUGCCAUGACUAGAGUUCGGUAGGGGAGUGUGGAAUUCCUGGUGGAGCGGUGAAAUGCGCAGAUAUCAGGAGGAACACCCGUAGCGAAGGCGGCACUCUGGGCCGGAACUGACGCUGAGGAGCGAAAGCGUGGGGAGCGAACAGG